GACGUAGGAGGCGAGCGUUGUCCGGAUUCAUUGGGCGUAAAGAGCGCGCAGGCGGCUUGGUAAGUCGGAUGUGAAAAUCCGAGGCUCAACCUCGGACGUGCAUCCGAUACUGCUCGGCUAGAGGUAGGUAGGGGAGAUCGGAAUUCCUGGUGUAGCGGUGAAAUGCGCAGAUAUCGGGAGGAACACCAAUGGCGAAGGCAGCUUGCUGGGACGGUACUGACGCUGAGGCGCGAAAGCGUGGGGAGCAAACAGG
rnacentral:rRNA from 1 species